rnacentral:lncRNA from 1 species
UGCGACUUGUGUUAGAUUGGCCUGCUGGUAAGGGCUUCAAAGGAAUUCUCUAAGGAAGAAACAAAUCAACUGAAGCGAAGUACAAAGGAACGAACUCUUUGGUGAACUAUUUCUUAUAGAAUCUAUCUGGUAUAUAUGACAUUAUGCAGACCACCUAUAUCGUAUAACGAUGCUUGCAUAGUUGCAUUGUGUGAUCAAUGGAGGAAACCAUAACAAUGUUAUAUUGGUCCAUAUUUU